AAAAGAGUGCUUCCACAUUAAAUCAAGAAAGACACACACACAAGUGAACUGGAAGAGUAUCACACCCUCUUAGGCCUCAAUGUCCACAACAUCACUGGCCACAGCUUUUAGUUUCAGGAGGUGAGAUAUGAAAACAAACCUAAUGGGCAAAGCAGAUCUAAACAGGGUAAGACCUGGAGCCCCGGCCCCAUGCAGCCUGCAGAAGGUGAGUGAGGUCGGCCUCCCCUCAUUCCACAGUUGCCUCUUUCCAGAGACCCUGGGUGUCUGGAGGGAUAUAGAGUGAUGUGGCCAGGCGCUGUGCCCGGGGAAAUGACAUUAAAAUUAGUAAUAGUAGGGGAAAAAAAAGAAAUACUUUCCUUUACAGACAACAGAAUGCAACUUGAGGCAAACCAUUCUAUACAUACAGUCUCAGAAACGAUUCCAGAUUUCCGACCUGCGUGUUUUGUUUCUUUGUUUGUUUAUGUCAAGACUUUACAAUUUGCCAUGAAUCAAAAACACACAUGAGCUCAGGGGAUAGAAAGAAAUAUUCAGAAAGAGUCUGAGUGGAAUUUGGAUUAGGAUGGGUGUUUUUUGGCUCCGAGUCCUGUGUCCAAGUGACAGCUGCUGUGCCAUAAUAAUAGAUCAGCUUACAAUACGUAGAUAUAGACAGGCAGACAAUAGACAAUCUGUGUAUGAAACAGGCUGCCUAAAAAUGCUGAUUAUCUAAAAGCUUGUGAGCCUAGGUCAUCAAAGCCAUCUCACCAGGUGAGUGUUCACUCUUCCCUCAGCGGGCCCUCCCAGAAGUCAUGUUAAGCAGUUUCUGACGGUAUUCAUAUUUUAAUCCUCAGAAGCCCUGGAGGCUCUCACCUCCCACUUCAGGCUGCCCAAAGUCACAGAGCCUGUGACUCCAGGACUCAUCUUUCUACAAACGCUUUGGUUGGCCAGCGCUUCCUUUUACCGUCAGCCGCCCCUGCCCGGGACACUUGCAGAUCAGGGGACUUUGUGGGUCUCAUUGAGGCUGUAUUUGCGGAUUCAAUUACGCAUUUUUAAUUCCGCAAAUAUUUGCCACUGCUGCCUGACCUGGAGCCUGUGUGGCCAGAUCCUUUGAUCGAAAGCCGUCUGCCUGUGGAUCAGACCCUGUGGUGAGUGGUGACAGCCCAGGGGUGGGGAGGCAGAUCACCCUGCUGGGUUGCUGGGGAAGGCUGUGUGGAGGCCAUAGGGUCUGAGCAAUAUACUAAGACCUAGUUAAAGAUUUGCAGCGAGAGAAUCCAUGAAACAUGAAACACGGAGGCUGUGGGGGGUCGAGUUAGGACUCUGGAUGGCCACAUCCUGACCCCCAGAACAUGCAACCACCGCCUUGUAUGGAAAGGGGGCUUUGCGGAUGUGAUAGGGCUGAGGCUCCUGAGAUGGGUGAUUUUCUUGGAUGAUCCUGGCGGGCCAAUGAAAUCACAGGGUCCUUCUGAGAGGGAGGGAGGACAGCAGAGAGGGGAAGGUGAUGUGGCCACAGAGCCAGAGAUGACGGAAGGGGCUGCCAGCCCAGGGGUCCAGGUACCACCGGAAGAAGGAAAGACAGAGACAUGGGGUCUCCCCAUGCCCAGCCCUGCAGAGACCCUGAAUUCAGCGCAGGGGUACUGAUUUGGGGGUUAUGGCCUCCAGAACUGUGAGAGAAUAAGUCUCCGUUGUCUUAUGCCACCGAGUGUGCGGUACGUGUUAUGGCAGCCACAUAGCAGGUGUGAGGAAGCUGGAGAAGGGACUGAAGAUGGGGUGCAGCUGGGACCACCCUGCUGGGCUAAGGCCAGUUCUGGAAAGAGACUGAACAGCUCUCCCUCAGGAGCAGUGAGGGAGGAACCCGUGAGUCAGUGGAGGGUGGGAGGAAACGUGGGAGGAGCCUCCGACAUCCUAGAAACGCGGGGGUACCAAAGCCAGCACCGGCCUGCGGGGGGAAAGCCGGCCUCUUACGCCCUGGAAGAGGAAACUCACAGAGAUCCCCACAACGACACCCAGCUGUGCAGGAGGCCCACGUCCUGUCUCAUUUCAUUUUCUCCUCUCGGUGAACAAAAAGAGAAGAAAAUGACAGGAGCAGAAGGUCAAAGGGAAGCAUCGAGAGAAAGAGGAUGAAUUGACACCUGUGGCUAAUUGAAGUGAAAUCAGAUCACAGAGGCCAUGAGACCCACGUCCAGAGGGCCCUAGGAGGGAGCUGUGGGCUCAGCUGGUUGAUUUACUCUGGCUUGGGUCGCUGCUACUGCUUUGAGGACAAUAAGCUUGGCCAUCACCAGACACCAGAGGAUGCUGAAGGGACAGCCGGCUAGACUAUUUCAUGGACUCUCUGAGCAUGUCCUAUUGCAGUCCAGAUGUGCCUUUCAC
rnacentral:lncRNA from 1 species